GUAGAAGUAAUACUAAAGAGAACAAAAAUAAGAACAGUAUUUGGUCAAGUGAAAUUAGUUAUGCUAUAAUAAAGUUGGAUCUGGAUGAUCACUUCUUGUGAGCAGCUGGGCACCAGUUCGAUCCUGGAACUCAGCCUGGAGGAGCUCACUCAGACAGCUUCCUUGAGGCAGUCUCGUGGCCCUGUUGGAGACAGCCUAGAACUCCCUAAACCCCAAAGCCUAAGAAGCAAUCCCUGUGGAGAGUCAGACAGAAUGAGGACCCAUAAAAGAAAGUUCUUCCCAACAAAGUCCUUUGCGCUUUCAAAUCGUUCAACGUCAGGAAUCAAUAUCAUUUUAUUGGUGGAAUUCUGCUUUGCCACUGCACCCCAAGGAUCAUGGGAUUUUUUCAUUUGACUUGCUGCUGGAAUUGUCCAUAUGUAUUGUCUCUUCCAUUAAAAUUGUGAACUCUUUCAAUGA
rnacentral:lncRNA from 1 species